rnacentral:rRNA from 1 species
UACGUAGGAUGCAAGCGUUGUCCGGAAUUAUUGGGCGUAAAGAGUUCGUAGGCGGUUAUCUAAGUCUGGUGUUAAAGCCCGAAGCUCAACUUCGGCAUGGCAUUGGAAACUGGAUGGCUAGAGUGUGGUAGAGGUCUCGGGAAUUCCUGGUGUAGCGGUGAAAUGCGUAGAUAUCAGGAGGAACACCGGUGGCGAAAGCGCGAGACUGGGCCAUAACUGACGCUGAGGAACGAAAGCUAGGGGAGCGAAAGGG